rnacentral:rRNA from 1 species
GACGAACGCUGGCGGCGUGUCUUAACACAUGCAAGUCGAACGAUGAUCCGGAGCUUGCUUCGGGGAUUAGUGGCGAACGGGCGAGUAACACGUGAGUAACCUGCCCUUGACUCUGGGAUAAGCGCUGGAAACGGCGUCUAAUACCGGAUACGACCUGCCCCGGCAUCGGGUGCGGGUGGAAAGUUUUUCGGUCAAGGAUGGACUCGCGGCCUAUCAGCUUGUUGGUGAGGUAAUGGCUCACCAAGGCGACGACGGGUAGCCGGCCUGAGAGGGUGACCGGCCACACUGGGACUGAGACACGGCCCAGACUCCUACGGGAGGCAGCAGUGGGGAAUAUUGCACAAUGGGCGAAAGCCUGAUGCAGCAACGCCGCGUGAGGGAUGACGGCCUUCGGGUUGUAAACCUCUUUUAGUAGGGAAGAAGGGCCUUCGGGUUUGACGGUACCUGCAGAAAAAGCACCGGCUAACUACGUGCCAGCAGCCGCGGUAAUACGUAGGGUGCAAGCGUUGUCCGGAAUUACUGGGCGUAAAGAGCUCGUAGGCGGUUUGUCGCGUCUGCUGUGAAAACCCGAGGCUCAACCUCGGGCCUGCAGUGGGUACGGGCAGACUAGAGUGCGGUAGGGGAGAAUGGAAUUCCUGGUGUAGCGGUGGAAUGCGCAGAUAUCAGGAGGAACACCGAUGGCGAAGGCAGUUCUCUGGGCCGUAACUGACGCUGAGGAGCGAAAGCGUGGGGAGCGAACAGGAUUAGAUACCCUGGUAGUCCACGCCGUAAACGUUGGGCGCUAGAUGUGGGGACCUUUCCACGGUUUCCGUGUCGCAGCUAACGCAUUAAGCGCCCCGCCUGGGGAGUACGGCCGCAAGGCUAAAACUCAAAGGAAUUGACGGGGGCCCGCACAAGCGGCGGAGCAUGCGGAUUAAUUCGAUGCAACGCGAAGAACCUUACCAAGGCUUGACAUAUACGAGAACGGGCCAGAAAUGGUCAACUCUUUGGACACUCGUAAACAGGUGGUGCAUGGUUGUCGUCAGCUCGUGUCGUGAGAUGUUGGGUUAAGUCCCGCAACGAGCGCAACCCUCGUUCUAUGUUGCCAGCACGUUAUGGUGGGAACUCAUAGGAGACUGCCGGGGUCAACUCGGAGGAAGGUGGGGAUGACGUCAAAUCAUCAUGCCCCUUAUGUCUUGGGCUUCACGCAUGCUACAAUGGCCGGUACAAAGGGCUGCGAUACCGUAAGGUGGAGCGAAUCCCAAAAAGCCGGUCUCAGUUCGGAUUGAGGUCUGCAACUCGACCUCAUGAAGUCGGAGUCGCUAGUAAUCGCAGAUCAGCAACGCUGCGGUGAAUACGUUCCCGGGCCU